CUUAACACAUGCAAGUCGAGGGGCAGCAUGGUCUUAGCUUGCUAAGGCCGAUGGCGACCGGCGCACGGGUGAGUAACACGUAUCCAACCUGCCGUCUACUCUUGGACAGCCUUCUGAAAGGAAGAUUAAUACAAGAUGGCAUCAUGAGUCCGCAUGUUCACAUGAUUAAAGGUAUUCCGGUAGACGAUGGGGAUGCGUUCCAUUAGAUAGUAGGCGGGGUAACGGCCCACCUAGUCUUCGAUGGAUAGGGGUUCUGAGAGGAAGGUCCCCCACAUUGGAACUGAGACACGGUCCAAACUCCUACGGGAGGCAGCAGUGAGGAAUAUUGGUCAAUGGGCGAGAGCCUGAACCAGCCAAGUAGCGUGAAGGAUGACUGCCCUAUGGGUUGUAAACUUCUUUUAUAAAGGAAUAAAGUUGGGUAUGGAUACCCGUUUGCAUGUACUUUAUGAAUAAGGAUCGGCUAACUCCGUGCCAGCAGCCGCGGUAAUACGGAGGAUCCGAGCGUUAUCCGGAUUUAUUGGGUUUAAAGGGAGCGUAGAUGGAUGUUUAAGUCAGUUGUGAAAGUUUGCGGCUCAACCGUAAAAUUGCAGUUGAUACUGGAUAUCUUGAGUGCAGUUGAGGCAGGCGGAAUUCGUGGUGUAGCGGUGAAAUGCUUAGAUAUCACGAAGAACUCCGAUUGCGAAGGCAGCCUGCUAAGCUGCAACUGACAUUGAGGCUCGAAAGUGUGGGUAUCAAACAGGAUUAGAUACCCUGGUAGUCCACACGGUAAACGAUGAAUACUCGCUGUUUGCGAUAUACUGCAAGCGGCCAAGCGAAAGCGUUAAGUAUUCCACCUGGGGAGUACGCCGGCAACGGUGAAACUCAAAGGAAUUGACGGGGGCCCGCACAAGCGGAGGAACAUGUGGUUUAAUUCGAUGAUACGCGAGGAACCUUACCCGGGCUUAAAUUGCAGAUGAAUUACGGUGAAAGCCGUAAGCCGCAAGGCAUCUGUGAAGGUGCUGCAUGGUUGUCGUCAGCUCGUGCCGUGAGGUGUCGGCUUAAGUGCCAUAACGAGCGCAACCCUUGUUGUCAGUUACUAACAGGUUCCGCUGAGGACUCUGACAAGACUGCCAUCGUAAGAUGUGAGGAAGGUGGGGAUGACGUCAAAUCAGCACGGCCCUUACGUCCGGGGCUACACACGUGUUACAAUGGGGGGUACAGAGGGCCGCUACCACGCGAGUGGAUGCCAAUCCCCAAAACCUCUCUCAGUUCGGACUGGAGUCUGCAACCCGACUCCACGAAGCUGGAUUCGCUAGUAAUCGCGCAUCAGCCACGGCGCGGUGAAUACGUUCCCGGGCCUUGUACACACCGCCCGUCAAGCCAUGGGAGCCGGGGGUACCUGAAGUGCGUAACCGCGAGGAGCGCCCUAGGGUAAAACUGGUGACUGGGGCUAAGUC
rnacentral:rRNA from 1 species